UGAGGAACAUGACCUUCGGCGGGGGAUAGCCGGCCCAACGGCCGGGUAAUACCGCGUACGACCACAUGGGGACAUCCCUGAGUGGUGAAAGCAGCAAUGCGCCGAUGGAGUGCCUCGCGGCCUAUCAGCUAGUUGGUGAGGUAACGGCUCACCAAGGCGACGACGGGUAGCUGGUCUGAGAGGAUGGCCAGCCACAUUGGGACUGAGACACCGGCCCAGACCUCGUACGGGGAGG
rnacentral:rRNA from 1 species